CUCGAAAUAACGAAAACCUCAUCCCUUCUCUCGCGCAGCAUCGCGACGAUAUGUCGCGGUUCUUCCUUCUGUCUCCGUCGCGCCAAUGCCGUCCCUGUAGUUCCCUCUCCUUUUCACCCAUGGCUGCACGAACACCGGUAUUUUUGGUCGUGGCGCGACGAAGAAAAUGCGAUUUCUGUGUGCAUACGAAUGACCGAGAUCGCGAGCCCAUACGUCGGAAAGAGAAAGACUAUAGACAAGUGGGAUCGAAAGGUGCGAGUGUAUACACGCGGAUUUGAGAAAGAAAAGAAAAGAGAAACGAUGGAUGAAGAAGGAGAGGAAGAGAGAGAGAGAAAGAGAGAGAUAGUAGAGAGACAAGGAGAGCAAACAUCAUCGUGAAAACGGUUAGCGCCGUCGGCGUAACCUGAGAGCUUUUCGGACCCUGCAACCAUAUAUGUCCGCCUCGCGCACUCUCUCUCACUCGCGCCACGCUCAAUCCCGUCGUGCUCUCUCGCUUCCACUUACCACUCAAAGAAUCUGCCUUUGCACCCUUCUUCCGCUACUUUUUCAUCGUACCACCGAUCCAACACGGUGCUGUUAAUUUGCCAGUAAUUUACUUCCUCUGUUUUUCACGAGCCAACAUCUUCAACCACUUUUUCUUUUACUUGACUGACAGUGUUAACUAUCGCUGCACGACUGCAUCCUUCCGAAAAUAUGUAUGCGGUCUUCUCUACUCCACAACAUCGAUCAUUCAUCUCGUACGCAUAAUAUCUUGGAAUUCCCUAUAAAUGCAUAUACAUCUGCAAUCCGAUUAUAAUAUUUGACAGGUUCGAUUAUCUCGCGUACUUCCGACUUGGUCGUGCCGUGUCUCGUAUCUGGUACUCGUAGAAGAAAACUUUAUGGUGGUUUUAUAGCGUACGAGACAGCAUGUGCAGCACGAUCGCGGAUACGCGUGCGUCUUCGAUUACGUAGCUCGGUAGAACGCGAAAUUUACGUAAUUUUA